AUGCACAAGGGGGCGUAUUUCAUGCAAGAACCUGAGGGAUAUGGGUACCCUAUGGGUCCCUACCAACCUGGAUAUUGGCCGGACCUAACAAGUGGGCCUGCCCGAUCAGGACGUGUGGGUCGAGGACACGAAGUUACUUGGAGUACACGUCAAGGCAACAAGACUGUCCAAAUCUACCCGGACAUCACGGGAUGCGUUUUGUAGUCCAACUCAGAUUGCUUUCCAUGUAACUUCGAGUAGAUUAGAUGCAAACUGACUUGUAAUCCUUGGUCGUCAGCCUAUAUAAGGCGGCUAAGGGCACCCCCCGAGGACAACGAAACUCAUACCAAGCAAUACAAUCC
rnacentral:lncRNA from 1 species